GACAACGAAGCUCAGUGGGAGAGCACAGGGCAUUCCCUUGAGAUUGCUGGUUCGACUCCAGCUGUCGCCA
rnacentral:tRNA from 1 species